rnacentral:rRNA from 1 species
CAGUCGCCACGGUAAUAUGAAGGGGGCUAGCGUUGCUCGGAAUGACUGGGCGUAAAGGGCGCGUAGGCGGAUUGUUUAGUUAGGCGUGAAAUUCCUGGGCUUAACCUGGGGACUGCGCUUAAUACAGGCAGUCUAGAGUGAGGAAGAGGGUUGUGGAAUUCCCAGUGUAGAGGUGAAAUUCGUAGAUAUUGGGAAGAACACCGGUGGCGAAGGCGGCAACCUGGUCCUUGACUGACGCUGAGGCGCGAAAGCGUGGGGAGCAAACAGGAUUAGAUACCCCCGUAGUCCCUGUCUCUUAUAC